AAAGAAAACAAAAGUUCAAAGGGAGGAGCUCCUGAGCAGCAGUUGCUUGUUUUGGUGCAAUCAGCCGGACCAGUACCUUCUAAAAUGGGACUCUCGGGACUUCUGCCGAUCCUAGUACCGUUCAUCCUCCUGGAUGGCAUCCGGGGACCUGGGCUGGUUGAAGGGAUCAUCAGUAAGUGUCGGGGACUCGCUCCUUGCAGUGAAGAAAGGGAACUCAAUGGGGAGGAAGGAAAAAGGAACAAUUUCACAGAUGAGGGGUGUUUCCUCUGUCUCAGCCUGGGAUCCUGGGUAGGAGGGGGCAGUUAUUUGGAGCCAUUUUUUCAGUCCCCUUCGUCUUGGCAAGGUGACUUUGGUGAAUGCAGGAACCUAAGUCCGUGGCAACUGACUCCUCACUCCCAUUGCAAGGAGUUCUUCCAGGAGGUGCCUGGACCUAGACCAAAUGAAAUGGACUAACGGCCUGGGAAGCCCAAGGAACUUUCCCAUAAGAAAAACAGGCCAUUGCCCCAGUACCACCUCAUUGGCUCCCACAUCCUCCCAUGGUAGCCCCCAAAGGUUUUCCCACAGUGACAGCCACAGCCACAGCCACACACAGAGGAUCCUUGCUUUGCGGUGAAAAAUGGUACCCAGAAGUUCCUUGGAAUGCUGGAAUAUGAAGGCCCAUAACUAGCACCUUUAUAUACUGAGCACUUUAAAAGUAGUGGUUGAAAGUGAGUGCUCAGGAGCCACACGUUGUAGGUUCAAAUCCUGCCUCCACCCCUUAGUAGCUGUGUGAUCUUGAGUGAGUUCACAUAACCACCCUGUGUUUCAGAUUCCUCUGUUUAUAAAAUGUGAAUAUGAAUAGUACUUCCCCAUAGAGUUGUAUUGGGCAUUAAGGAGAAAAGGCCAGGCACACAGUGAGUACUUCCUCAAUAUCAGUCAUUAUUUUGGCCCAGGCAGUUUGACAAUGGCUUUUCAAACUUUGUUGCAUUAGUCUUCAAAACAACCCUAUAGGCAAAUGAGGAAAUCAAGGUUCAUAGAGGGGACGUGCCACACCAAGAGUGGUGCAAAAUCUAAAAGCCCAGGCACGUGAUGCCAGAAAUGGAGGCCUCAAUCGUCGCCAGCUACCGUGCCUCCUGUGGAAACAUCCAAGCACAGGAAGGCAGAGUGAUCAGAAUAUUCCUAGAGGAAAGCAUCCUACUCUCUGGAACCUUACAGGUGGUGAGGGUAGGGGGUAGGGGUUGGAAUAGGGAUUAGGUGAGUUUUUAUGGGGUUGGGGAUGUGGGUGGUGGUGUGAAAUUCCUGAGCCCUCUGGGGGUCACUACCUUCUGGGGACAGGGGAAGUGAAAACAAGUUUCCCUAACUCUGCAGUGGUGCCCUGCGUCUUGGAAAGGAGAGCACUGGCCCCUUUAAGGCCUCAAGUGAAUAUGUCUUUCCCUCCUUUAGAACCGUGUCCCAAAAUUAGAACAAAAUGUGAAAUAGAAGAAAGGAACCAAUGCAUCAGGAGCAGACAGUGCCCAGGAAACAUGAAGUGUUGCCUGUUUAGCUGUGGAAAGAAAUGUUUAGACCUCAAUCAAGAUGAAGAAGUCAAGGAUCAGAGAUGUAAAACAUAUGCAGUUUGCCACUGGUGGUUGGCCCCUGCCUGGCCUACUUUCCACGCUGGUGGUAUGAUAAUGUAACUGAGCGCUGCUUCGAAUUCAUCUACGGCGGUUGCCUAGGGAAUAAUAACAACUUCCAAUCUGAAUCUGUCUGCAUGGUCACCUGCGAAAGAAAACACUCAUCUUCCUGGCUAGGAUAACGAGGAGCUGGAAAUACCUCCAGGGUUUGGCUCAUAGACCAGGGCUCUCUCCGUGUGUGUCUGACGGAUGCCCCACGUCAGCUUCCACUGGCCAAAUCUCAGCCUCCAAGACCUUGGCAUUGCAAAAACUGAACCCAGGAUUUGCUUACUCUGUUUCCUCCAGCUUGGCUUCUCUUCAAACAUAAUGCCCUACGCCCUUUAACCUCUUCUCAGUGUGAGACCCUAUCCCUUCAACUUUCAUGGCCCCCAUUUAUCCCUUUGAAGCCUCCAGUUUCCCCUAAUAAAGUGCUCUGUGACGUCUGA